rnacentral:lncRNA from 1 species
GUUAGUCCUUGCAAAAUGGCCAUGGGCUGGAUGAAAAGGAAAGAAACAGCCAUUACAGGACACAGCAUCAGAGUCAAAGCUCUACACAAGGACAGUGGCUGUGAUGGUUAAAGGAAGGGCUGGAUGUGAAAAUAGCUGAUGGAGAAGUCAGAGAGCCUGGCAAGUGAUUGUUGAGAUGAAAAGAAAUGAAAAUGCCAAGAUCCCCAGCCUGUUACUGGAAGGAAAGUGACUCCAUUAAUCCCUUCAGAAGGAGCAGGUUCUGCUUAGAGGAUUGGUGUGAAAAUAAGGUUAUUAUUUGACAUAUUGAGUAGAAAACAUCUGCGGAACAUGAACAAAGAAAUGUCUUAAAGCCUGUAAUCCCAGCACUUUGGGAGGCCAACGCAGGAGGAUCACGAGGUCAGGAGAUCGAAACCAUCUUGGCUAACACAGUGAAACCCUGUCCCUACUAAAAAUACAAAAAAAAAAUUAAUUAACCAGGCAUGGUGGUGGGCGCCUGUAGUCCCAGCUACUCAG